rnacentral:rRNA from 1 species
UACGGGGGGGGCGAGCGUUGUUCGGAAUUACUGGGCGUAAAGGGUUUGUAGGUGGCUUGCUAAGUCAGACGUGAAAUCCCUCAGCUUAACUGGGGAACUGCGUCUGAGACUGGCGAGCUUGAGUGCAGGAGAGGAACGCGGAAUUCCAGGUGUAGCGGUGAAAUGCGUAGAUAUCUGGAGGAACACCGGUGGCGAAGGCGGCGUUCUGGACUGCAACUGACACUGAGAAACGAAAGCCAGGGGAGCAAACGGG